CUACCAGGGUUUCUAAUCCUGUUUGCUCCCCACGCUUUCGCACCUCAGCGUCAAUACCUGUCCAGUGAGCCGCCUUCGCCACUGGUGUUCUUCCGAAUAUCUACGAAUUUCACCUCUACACUCGGAAUUCCACUCACCUCUCCAGGAUUCAAGCAAUCCAGUCUCAAAGGCAGUUCCGGGGUUGAGCCCCGGGCUUUCACCUCUGACUUAAAUCGCCGCCUACGUGCGCUUUACGCCCAGUAAUUCCGAACAACGCUAGCUCCCUCCGUAUUACCGCGGCUGCUGGCAC
rnacentral:rRNA from 1 species